CAGUCCCCUUCCACACUGGGGAAGCUUUGUUCUUUUGCUCUUUGCAAUAAAUCUUGCUACCGCUUACUCUUUGGGUCCACACUGCCUUUAUGAGCUGUAACACUCACCGCCAAGGUCUGCAGCUUCACUCCGGAAGCCAGCGAGACCAGGAGCCCACUGGGAGGAACGAACAACUCCAGACGCACCGCCUUAAGAGCUGUAACACUCACCGCGAAAGUCUACAGCUUCACUCCUGAGCCAGCGAGACCACGAAUCCACCAGAAGGAAGAAACUCCGAACACAUCUGAACAUCAGAAAGAACAAACUCCGGACACGCCGCCUUUAAGAACUGUAACACUCACCGCGAGGGUCCGCAGCAUCAUUCUUGAAAAUCAACUUAAAGUUUUGUUCUGAAAUUUCAAGGCCUUUCACGCCAAUUUGUCUAUGGUUUGGAUUUGUGUCCCUGCUGGAAUGUAAAGUUGAACUGUAAUCACCGAGGCUGGAGGAGGGACCUGCUGGGAGGCGAUUGCAUCAUGGGGGCGUAUUUCCCCCUUGCUGUUCUCAUGAUGACACAAAUGAAUAGCAGAACUCUUGCUCCCAUGAAUUGGCAAGUAUAGUCAUAGAAGUCUACCCACUGUGGAUGGGAGACAGAAAAGAAAGAAAGAGCCUGAAUUACUGAGGAGCCUGAACAGAACAAAAUGGCAGAGGAAAGUUGAAUUCACUCUCUGCUUAUGAUUGCUUGAGCUGGAACAUGGAUUGGCCCUCAGUGCUCCUGUUUCUUAGGCCUUCGGGACUAGAUCAGAAUCUUCACCAUCAGCAUUGUUGGUCCUCCUGCUUUCAGGCCUUCAAACC
rnacentral:lncRNA from 1 species